AGUGAAAUAGCUGGGUCAUAAGGUGUGAGGUUUUUUUUGAGGAAUCUCCAUACUGCUUUCCACAGUGUUUGCACUAAUUUGCAGUCCCACCAGAAAU
rnacentral:pre_miRNA from 1 species